rnacentral:rRNA from 1 species
AGAGUUUGAUCAUGGCUCAGAACGAACGCUGGCGGCAUGCCUAACACAUGCAAGUCGAACGCGUGUAGCAAUACACGAGUGGCGCACGGGUGAGUAACGCGUGGGAACCUGCCCUGGAGUGGGGGAUAACCCGGCGAAAGCCGGGCUAAUACCGCAUACGACCUUCGGGUGAAAGAUUUAUCGCUCUGGGAGGGGCCCGCGUCGGAUUAGCUAGUUGGUGAGGUAACGGCUCACCAAGGCGAUGAUCCGUAGCUGGUCUGAGAGGAUGAUCAGCCACACUGGGACUGAGACACGGCCCAGACUCCUACGGGAGGCAGCAGUGGGGAAUAUUGGACAAUGGGGGCAACCCUGAUCCAGCAAUGCCGCGUGAGUGAUGAAGGCCUUAGGGUUGUAAAGCUCUUUCGGCGGGGACGAUGAUGACGGUACCCGCAGAAGAAGCCCCGGCUAACUUCGUGCCAGCAGCCGCGGUAAUACGAAGGGGGCGAGCGUUGUUCGGAAUUACUGGGCGUAAAGGGCGCGCAGGCGGCCUGAGAAGUCAGAUGUGAAAGCCCCGGGCUCAACCUGGGAAUAGCAUUUGAUACUCUGAGGCUGGAGUGCGGGAGAGGAGAGUGGAAUUCCCAGUGUAGAGGUGAAAUUCGUAGAUAUUGGGAAGAACACCGGUGGCGAAGGCGGCUCUCUGGACCGUAACUGACGCUGAGGCGCGAAAGCGUGGGGAGCAAACAGGAUUAGAUACCCUGGUAGUCC